UUUACUAAGGAUAUUUUAAGAAUUAAGCUAAUGUUAUUGUAAAAAAGCUCUCGAUGGUGUAGCGGCUGCCAAUGGCUACCUCCAAUGUUGUUUCCAAUCUCGUGGUGCCUUGAUGGAGAAAACUAUGAAAAUCGUUCAAGGGUUUUGGAAAUGAAGCAGGGGUUCUGGAAACGAUUCGGCCAGAAGAGCAUCGACAGCUUCUCUCUCUCUCUCCUCAGUGGCUCCCUUUUGUGCCUUGUUGGAUAUAUUGGCCCUUUCUUGAGGUUUCAAAGCCCUCCAUGAAUUCGUCUGAGGUGCUUGCAAAAGGCCUUUCUUUAGCUUCCUCGGAGCAGUCUGAAACCCUUGGACAAUCAAACGAAAAUGUUUGCGUUGGUAGCCUUGGUAAGGGUUUAAUGCCCAAAUCUAUGGAUGAUGCUCUUUUCCCUGCCAUAAAUGUGGUAGUUGGAAGGGCAUUGAUCUUCUCAAGGGCUCCCUGUUGCACCUUCCUUGAGAUCUCGCCCUUCACCAUCGGUUUCAUCACCCUACAAGAAUGCUCCCAUGGUGCCCGCGAAAGGUCUCUCUACAGUUUCAUGUGAGUCCCCAAAGUAUUCUGAAACCAUUGGGCUGCUGUCUUAAAAAGGAUGCACUGGAGGCCUUUGCAAGGGUUUGGAUGAUGCUUAUUUCCCUACUUUACCUCAAACUUCAAAACCACUUAGCAGUGCCAGAGAUUCUUUUGUCUCAAAGGUAAAAAGAGAAAAAAUUAUCUUCAAAGUUUGGCUCUGUUCAAUCAAACUAGAUGGUUUCAGCUGUCAGACUAUUAAAUGAAAAUAUUGGUGGGAGUUGACAUUUGUUUUCAACAUAUUUCCAUCUUAUAUUGUUCUGUUAAUAUCUUUUUGGGAAUUUGUUUGGCAGCAGCCAUGUUAGAUCAAAUGAAUAUUGAUAUCAAUUUACUGUUAUAAGUGAAACCAUGGCAUUCUUGCUGCCAUAAAUAUGGAGUAAAUUGUUAUUAUUAAUAUUAUUAUUAUUUAUUUAAA